GCUGCAGUGAGCCAUGAUUGCACCACUGCACUUCAGCCUGGGCGACACAGCUGUGUGUUUUUUUGGUUUCAACAAACACUCAAAAAAGACAUAGUCUCAAAGCCGUUGCUCCACCUGAUGGCUGUGCUCCCCGCCACCUACAGACUUCCUGUUGGCCACCCACUGGGACCCCUAGCUCUUCUGGGACCUUGGCACCAAGAGUCUGCCAAGCUUGAAAGCUGGAAGUCACCACUGAUUCCUCCCUCACUCCAUCCUCACUCUGUUCACUAAAUCCUGUUGAAUUCACCCAGAUGGUCAUUCACAGAAAACCCCACUACUAUUGUCCCUAGCAACUUACCUUCAGUGUGGCUGUCUCACUUCUGACAAAAGAAAAGAAAAUCAACAAUCCUUC